UACGAAGGGGGCUAGCGUUGUUCGGAAUUACUGGGCGUAAAGCGCACGUAGGCGGGUCGUUAAGUCAGGGGUGAAAUCCCGGAGCUCAACUCCGGAACUGCCUUUGAUACUGGCGACCUCGAGGCCGGAAGAGGCUAGUGGAAUUCCCAGUGUAGAGGUGAAAUUCGUAGAUAUUGGGAAGAACACCAGUGGCGAAGGCGGCUAACUGGUCCGGUACUGACGCUGAGGUGCGAAAGCGUGGGGAGCAAACAGG
rnacentral:rRNA from 1 species